AACGUAGGAGGCGAACGUUAUCCGGAUUUACUGGGCGUAAAGCGCGCGAAGGCGGCUUCGCAAGUCGGGCGUGAAAUCUCCCGGCUCAACUGGGAGGGGCCGUUCGAUACUGCGAGGCUUGAGGACGGGAGAGGGGAGUGGAAUUCCCGGUGUAGCGGUGGAAUGCGCAGAGAUCGGGAGGAACACCAGUGGCGAAGGCGGCUCCCUGGCCCGGUCCUGACGCUCAAGCGCGAAAGCGUGGGGAGCGAACGGG
rnacentral:rRNA from 1 species